GAGCGGUAACAGAUCUAGCUUGCUAGAUGCUGACGAGCGGCGGACGGGUGAGUAAUGCAUAGGAAUCUGCCCGGUAGUGGGGGAUAACCUGGGGAAACCCAGGCUAAUACCGCAUACGUCCUACGGGAGAAAGGGGGCUCCGGCUCCCGCUAUUGGAUGAGCCUAUGUCGGAUUAGCUAGUUGGUGAGGUAAUGGCUCACCAAGGCAACGAUCCGUAGCUGGUCUGAGAGGAUGAUCAGCCACAUCGGGACUGAGACACGGCCCGAACUCCUACGGGAGGCAGCAGUGGGGAAUAUUGGACAAUGGGGGCAACCCUGAUCCAGCCAUGCCGCGUGUGUGAAGAAGGCCCUCGGGUUGUAAAGCACUUUCAGCGAGGAAGAACGCCUGUUGGUUAAUACCCAUUAGGAAAGACAUCACUCGCAGAAGAAGCACCGGCUAACUCCGUGCCAGCAGCCGCGGUAAUACGGAGGGUGCAAGCGUUAAUCGGAAUUACUGGGCGUAAAGCGCGCGUAGGUGGCUUGAUAAGCCGGUUGUGAAAGCCCCGGGCUCAACCUGGGAACGGCAUCCGGAACUGUCAGGCUAGAGUGCAGGAGAGGAAGGUAGAAUUCCCGGUGUAGCGGUGAAAUGCGUAGAGAUCGGGAGGAAUACCAGUGGCGAAGGCGGCCUUCUGGACUGACACUGACACUGAGGUGCGAAAGCGUGGGUAGCAAACAGGAUUAGAUACCCUGGUAGUCCACGCCGUAAACGAUGUCGACCAGCCGUUGGGUGCCUAGAGCACUUU
rnacentral:rRNA from 1 species